rnacentral:rRNA from 1 species
AUUGAACGCUGGCGGCAGGCCUAACACAUGCAAGUCGAGCGGAUGAAGGCAGCUUGCUCCUGGAUUCAGCGGCGGACGGGUGAGUAAUGCCUAGGAAUCUGCCUGGUAGUGGGGGAUAACGUCCGGAAACGGGCGCUAAUACCGCAUACGUCCUGAGGGAGAAAGUGGGGGAUCUUCGGACCUCACGCUAUCAGAUGAGCCUAGGUCGGAUUAGCUAGUUGGUGGGGUAAAGGCCUACCAAGGCGACGAUCCGUAACUGGUCUGAGAGGAUGAUCAGUCACACUGGAACUGAGACACGGUCCAGACUCCUACGGGAGGCAGCAGUGGGGAAUAUUGGACAAUGGGCGAAAGACUGAUCCAGCCAUGCCGCGUGUGUGAAGAAGGUCUUCGGAUUGUAAAGCACUUUAAGUUGGGAGGAAGGGCAGUAAGUUAAUACCUUGCUGUUUUGACGUUACCAACAGAAUAAGCACCGGCUAACUUCGUG